GACAAACCUUUCCUGGCGAUCUUCCAGAUCAUCUUUGGCUGACACAGAAGACCAAGAUUCUAAAGAAAAUGUAAAAGAUUGUCUGGAUUGGAAAGGAACAUAAAAGUACCAGAUUUUGAGGAGGUUGCAAAAAUAACAUGAAUUAUUUUUCAUCUUUAAUCAAUUUAAAAUCAUUAUACCGCUUUGAUACAUGUACCUGCAUCACAAAGUGAAACACAAAGAUCUUGUGAUUGCUUAAACAAUCAGAAACAAUUCUGGGCCUAAAUGUAAAAAACAGAAGGCAGUUCAGCAAUGAGCCAGUCGGGCAGCAAACUAGAGUGACAGAGGAGUUCUAGUUCAAAGGAUUCCAUUUCAAGGGUUGGAUCCAAGGCUCUGAUAGAAAAAUCACUUUUGAAGGAGAGGGAAAGGAGGAAUAAUUUCUUUUACCCUUCCCCCUCUUCCUACUGACCACAUUAUCAAUCAGAAUCUAGGCCAGUCAGAGUACCUCCAGCCAGGAUCACAGAAACUAUACCAAGAGGAGACAAUAUAUACAUCUAAGAACAGUGUUCACCCAAGGAAGUAUAACUACAAAAACAGUGAACGCUCAUGACAGAAGUGGCAGUUUCAAAGUCCAUAAAAUCUAGCAGGCAGCAUUGUCAAUGAAGAAUUUCAUGAAUACAAAGGCAAAAAAGGCCAUGGCUCUAGCCACUACCCUAUACUACUUGUUCCUUCAAAGAGGAUUUUCUCAAAGCCCUUUAGAUGCCUUCAUAGAGGCAGCCCCCUCUUUGUUUCUCUUCUUGCAUAUAGCUAGCCAAAUAACUAUUCAGUAUAAAUCUAAAAUUCCCAGGGCAGCUAAGCUCUCCCAUCCUGAUCACCUCUAACAAUUAUUUUUGUUGCUUGAGAAAGAACUUUUUAAUUACAGCUGUUAAGUUCAAGAAGACCAGACUGUUCCUAAUUUGUCAUGUGACCUUGAGUAUCACUCCUUGAGCUAGGCCAAGUUUCUUUAUCUAAAAAUCAAUAAUUAAUUCAAUAAUCCUUUAAUAGAAAAAAAGGAUUCUGUCCUAAGCACUGUGCUAUGUGCUAGGGAUACAAGAACAAAAAAAAAAGUGGUUUUGGUUUAAUAGUUCCCAAAAUUAGCAAGGUUCGAAUCAAGUCUAGUGCAAAGAAAUAGAAGAAAAGUAGUAUCAGUAUUACCAUGUUAAAAUUAAUGCAAACCACAUAAAAACUACAGACUCCAUAUUGAUCACUGUCAAGUUCAUUGUAUAGCUAAGGAAAUACAGAUAUAAAUAUAGCUUUGUUUUGUUCUAUGAAAAUGCAAUACUAGAUCAAGAACAAGGCAAUCUGGGUUUGAGCCUUAGCUCCUUCAUCUACAUUCAUGUGAUUUUGCACAAGUUCUUUCACUUUUCCCCUCUCGGGGCUUCAGUCUUCUCAUUUAUAAAAUAAGGAGGCGAGGAGCAGUCUGCAUAAUAUAUACAUCCAAGUUCCUUACUACUUGGAAAGCUGAUUCAACUGGAGAGUCAAUUAGACUCUCUGUAAUAUUGAAGGGGGGAUUCUAAUUAAGAACAAGGUGGUUCAUUUCUGUGAGUCACAGGAAAUUAUGUUUUAGAGGGAAAUGAUGUUGUGUCAUUUUAUGAACUGCUGAAUGACUCUGCCAUUGAUUUAAAAGACAGAUGCAUGGUGUGUCACAGCAAAAAAGUCCAAGCUUUCCCUUCAUGACUGAUUGAUUUUUAAAUCUGCCUGGAUGACUGUUUUUCUAUAUCACAUGCAACUUUGAUGAAAUGACUAAUAAAUCCAACACAGGAAAGUGAGUCUCCCUCAAUUUCCCAACAACUUUAGCAACUUCUGGGGGACAAGCAGUGACAGAUCAUUCUUACCUUUCUGAGAAGGAGCAAAAUUUGUAACAAGGAAAGACAUUCUGAACUUAAGACCUUGGCCAAAUAAAAAGUUAGCUGCUGAAUACUUCCCUGGAAGGGACAAAGAUCUUUUGCACAACUUAUAAGUAUAAAAGCUUUUUGAGCUGCAAAUUCAAAUCAGUUUAAUUUAGACAAGCCUUCUCUAGCUCCUGGAUGUAGCAACCUGUCUGAACUAGCCCCCAAUUGAAUAUCAAAACCUAGUUCUCUAGGAGAAUGAAAAAGUGCUCCAGAAUCAAUGGACUGUCGUUCUGAAUUCCUAAGAUAUACUUCACAAGUCACUAUCAGCAUAUUUGCAUUUAGUAAAAAGCAAAUAGAUUCAAGUAGCUCAGAGAAAGGAUGUUUACUGUGGUAGAUUUACAAGAAUAAUAAAGAAAACAUUCCCCACACAAUCCUAGGUUAUACUUCCCUUAUAUGUACUGCAGUAACAAUGGAAAGAGUGGGUAAGUACUAGUAGUAUAGACAUUCUAUACCAGGAUUUAACUUUUUCCACUGAGAAAUUUUUACAUGAUCCAGGAUGGGCUUACAAAACGGGUACCAAAAAAAAAAAAAAAAAAAAAAAAAAAAAAAAAAAAAAAAAAAUCAAACGUUUACUGAUAAGUCAAAAUUUUAUGACUCUCACAUUCAGUUGUUACCCCAUAUGGAGUUAGAAAACACAAAUUUUAAGAAGCUUUGAUUUGAUUUCAGAAAAGGCUAGAAAGACUUACAUGAACUGAUGCUAAGUGAAGUGAGCAGAACCAAGAGAAUACUGUAUACAGCAACAACAAGAUUGUGUGAUGAUCAACUGUGAUGGACUUGGCUCUUUUCAGCCAUGAGGUGAUCCAAAGUAAUUCCAAUGAUACUUUUGAUGGAAAGUGUCAUCCACAUCCAGAGAGGAUUAUGAAGGCCGAAUGUGAAUCAAAGGAGAGUAUUUUCACCUUUGUUACUGUUUGCUUGUUUUUUCCCCUUUUUUAAAAAUCAUUUUUCCCUUUUGAUCAGAUUUUUUCUUUUUUUUCUGCACAAUAUGAUGAAUAUGGAAGUAUUUUUAGAACACUUGCACAUGUUUAUCCUAAGUCAGAUAGCUUGCUGUCUUGGGAAGAAGGGAGGGAGGCUAGAGGAGAGGGAGGCAAAAUUGGAACACAAGUUUUUUCAAAGAUGAAUGUUGAAAACUAUCUUUGCAAGUAUUUGGGAAGAAGAAAUACCAUUAAAAAUAAAUUUAAAAAAGAAGAAGUUUUACUCUAUGCCUAGUAGGGAGGUACACAUAGGUAAUACACAUUGCCUAAAAAUAUUACAUCUUCAGGACUCCAGGCUUCGAUUCCUUUUCCCUUCUCAUGGUAACUUCACGUUGCCUUUUAUUACAACGUUUUUGGUCGGAUUGCAGUUCCUGGACUCCUUUCUCUCUACAGCUCAAUUCCCAAUAGCCAAAGUUGCUUCUUUUCUUAGCUUAGACAUGACACUCUUAAUGGGCAGCUAUGUGGCACAGCAGAUAGAGUGGUAGGACUGGAGUCAGGAAGAGUCAUCUAUUCAAGUUUAAAUCUGGCCUCAGACACUAUUAACUGGGUCACUGAGCAAAUCAUCUAAUCCUGUUUGCUUCAGUUUCCUCAUCUGUAAAAUGAUCUGGAGGAAGAAAUGCAGAACAUUUUUCAUUUGCCACAAAAAUUCCAAAUCGGAUCAAGAAGGGUCCAACAUGAUUGAAAAAAUGGAACAAACAAACAUUUUUCAAAGCUAUCUCCUUUCUACCUUUACUAUCCUCUGGCUUGUUUGGUCUCUGAAGGGGAAUGGUAUUUUCUAUUAGUGGAUGAGUAGCUCUGCUACAAGACAUCAGGCACAGUGAGUAUGGGAGAAAAGAGAAGACCAUUUCCCCAGAGACAAAGAACUAUUCCUUUCAAAGGGUUGGGUUCCUCCUGACUCUUCUCUUCUACCAGAACUACCAGUUCUCAAAACUGCUCCCAAAUUAAACUCCCAACAAAAGUGUCUCACUUUUUAAAUUUAGAGACCAGUAUUAUGAAAUUUGACCAACCAAAUAGCUAGCUAGCUGUCAUAUAAUUCCAUCAGUUUUGAUCAUGUACUUCAUAUCUUCCAUUUUAAGAAACAGUCAACCAUAUUCAUUCCAUUCCUUUCUGGAUUCUGUUCCAGACUCAUUUAUUUCUCCUCAGGAUCAGCAACCUUUUCAUCUUGGAGAUGGCUGUAUUCUUUCAGUUCCUUCCUCUUAUGGGUGAAUUUUUUCUCAGGAGUCCCACUGUAAGGAAUAUAUCCAGGGCCACAUUUACUCCUUUAUUUUUCUCUGGAUGACAUUCCUGACAUCCCUUCUCUCCUGGCCAUUUUUCUGCUGUUCUGGAUUUUGACACCAUACCUCAACUCCAGCCUCACCUUGUAAUUUCCCUUAGCAUUUGGGAUGGUAAUCUUGAUUUCCCUCCCAUCUCCCCUUCUAAUUUUGCAGAAUUCAUCCAUAUCAUGUUUUUUUUUUCAAGUUCCCUCCCUCUCCAAUUUGUCUCCUUUUCCUGUGUUGUCUUUCCAAUUUCAAAGGCAACCUCCUUAAAAACAAAGACUAUAUAUUUGCUAGCAUUUGUAUUUUCAGUGCUUAACACUGAUUAGAACAGAUUGAGCAUGGAAUAAUAGAGUGACUUUAAAAAUACGGGAAGUCAGACACAUGUUUGUAUUUGAUUUAAGACCUUAGCGUCUUGUCUUUGUUUCCCAGCUUAUUUAUCCCCAGCUGAAUUAAUGUAAUUAGAGACUUUGAGUAGUAGGUAAUAAUCUCUCUUAACUACAAAGAUUUAAAAAAAUCCCUUCCCUCAACUUAUUGACAUUUGUAUUGUAUUGGAGGAGAACAAUAUACAGAUAGAUGAGUGAAUACAAAAAAAAGAUACAUAAGAAACAUCAGAGGUCUUUGAGUCAAACUCUAAGGACAUGUUGGAUCCUAACUCUGGGCCCUAAGCUAGUCUAUGAAAUUAGUAACAAAGCACUUUGUUAAAUCACCGAUAUAAAUGUUUAGAUUUAUUAAGGACACAAGAGGAACAUUUUCCAAGUAACCGUCCCUUAAACCCGGUUUUGACUAUUUCUGUUUUCAGUACAUCCUAUGGCUAGACUACUAUCUAAAAAGAUAUUGUUUCUAACAACCUCUGCAUUUCUAUAACAAUUUUAGCAUUCCUAACUAUGGCUUAGAGCUGGAUUUAUGGUAUAUGAGCAUCCUUGCUCAUGAACUUGAUAGCCAAUUAGUUGCCCAUGUGCUCCAAUGAAAUACAGCAGUGACUGAAAGAAUCCUGUAUAAUUGUUCUCACUCCAACUCUGAACCAAAUGUUUUCCUACAGCAAAACCUCUUAAUUUUUUAGUAGAAGAAGCUGUCACUCAAAGGAGUUAAAAUGGCAUACCCAAAGUAACAUAGAAUUCAGAAAUCCCGAUUCCCAGUUGAGUGUACUGAGCACAAUUGGUAAUUAUAAUUUAUUCAGGAAAAUGACUGAUAAAAAUUGGAUUUUCUCUUUCAUGAAGUUAAAUCCUACAAAUUCUAUUGUCUAAGGCAACUCCAUUUGGGUGGUAUUAGGAGAAAUAUAGAUGUGGUCCCUAUAGAACACUUACCAGGCCAUUAAUCUUUUUUACAGAUGCCCCAGAUCUGCCUAAUCUACCUCCCCAAGAAAGUCAUGGUCCUCAUUCCUGGGGGCCAGACCUCUGAAAUAUAUUCUUCUAAUGAAAAUUCCUUUAUAUAGGAGAGUUCUAACUUCUCCUAGCAACAAAUUAAUUAUAAUAUUUGCUGUGUUCCAGAAACUGUUCUAGAUACUGAGGGUAGGAAGAAAAAAAAAAAA